rnacentral:hammerhead_ribozyme from 1 species
GUACUGUUGAGGAGUCCCACCAUUGGACGAAACAGCCGUCCAGUGC